UACGAAGGGGGCUAGCGUUGUUCGGAAUUACUGGGCUUAAAGCGCGCGCAGGCGGUUCUUCAAGUCAGAGGUGAAAGCCCAGGGCUCAACCCUGGAAUGGCCUUUGAGACUAGAGAACUAGGGUACGGGAGAGGUGAGCGGAAUUCCGAGUGUAGAGGUGAAAUUCGUAGAUAUUCGGAAGAACACCAGUGGCGAAGGCGGCUCACUGGCCCGUUACCGACGCUCAGGCGCGACAGCGUGGGGAGCAAACAGG
rnacentral:rRNA from 1 species